CCAGACUCCUACGGGAGGCAGCAGUGGGGGAUAUUGCACAAUGGGGGGAACCCUGAUGCAGCGACGCCGCGUGGGUGAAGGAGCGUUUCGGCGCGUAAAGCCCUAUCGGCAGGGAAGAAGAUGACGGUACCUGACCAAGAAGCCCCGGCUCACUACGUGCCAGCAGCCGCGGGAAUACGUAGGGGGCAAGCGUUAUCCGGAUUUACUGGGUGUAAAGGGGGCGCAGACGGCAAUGCAAGCCAGGAGUGAAAGCCCGGGGCCCAACCCCGGGACUGCUUUUGAAACUGCGCUGCUAGAUUGCGGGAGAGGCAAGUGGAAUUCCUAGUGUAGCGGUGAAAUGCGUAGAUAUUAGGAGGAACACCAGUGGCGAAGGCGGCUUGCUGGACCGUGAAUGACGCUGAGGCUCGAAAGCGUGGGGAGCAAACAGGAUUAGAUACCCGAGUA
rnacentral:rRNA from 1 species